CAGUAGCCGCGGGAAUACGGAGGAUCCAAGCGUUAUCCGGAUUUAUUGGGUUUAAAGGGUGCGUAGGUGGCCUGUUAAGUCAGGGGUGAAAGACGGUAGCUCAACUAUCGCAGUGCCUUUGAUACUGACGGGCUUGAAUGAACUAGAGGUAGGCGGAAUGUGUCAAGUAGCGGUGAAAUGCAUAGAUAUGUCACAGAACACCAAUUGCGAAGGCAGCUUACUAUGGUUUUAUUGACACUGAGGCACGAAAGCGUGGGGAUCAAACAGGAUUAGAUACCCCAGUAGUCCCUGUCUCUUAUAC
rnacentral:rRNA from 1 species